rnacentral:tmRNA from 1 species
GGGGUUGUAAUGGCUUCGACAUGCACAGGAUAAUAUUUAAUGCAGUAGUGUUGCAGACUAUAAUUGCUCUAGGUUUCAAUAAACGGAAAAUCUAAAAAAGCUGAAAAUGAAUUUUCAUUUUCAAACCCAGCUUUUGCUGGAAACUUAAAUCUUGCUUUUGCUUAAUUAAAAGUAAGUUGCACUCUUUGAUGCUCUUAGAAGAAGUGUAGGUUAAGAGCACUUAUCCAAGGAUUCUAAUUAAUUGGAAUAAGUAUUUUUAGAACAUAUUAAUUAGUGUUUGUUUAUUCAUUCAUUAAUAUGCAAAAUCAAAAUAAACUAAACUGUAGAUUUGGGUAGGACUUUUGUGUGUGGACCCGGGUUCGACUCCCGGCAGCUCCACCA